rnacentral:rRNA from 1 species
ACUCCUACGGGAGGCAGCAGUGGGGAAUAUUGCACAAUGGGCGCAAGCCUGAUGCAGCCAUGCCGCGUGUGUGAAGAAGGCCUUCGGGUUGUAAAGCACUUUCAGUCGUGAGGAAGGUAGUGUAGUUAAUAGCUGCAUUAUUUGACGUUUAGCGACAGAAGAAGCACCGGCUAACUCCGUGCCAGCAGCCGCGGUAAUACGGAGGGUGCGAGCGUUAAUCGGAAUUACUGGGCGUAAAGCGCAUGCAGGUGGUUGUUAAGUCAGAUGUGAAAGCCCGGGGCUCAACCUCGGAAUAGCAUUUGAAACUGGCAGACUAGAGUACUGUAGAGGGGGUAGGAAUUUCAGGUGUAGCGGUGAAAUGCGUAGAGAUCUGAAGGAAUACCGGUGGCGAAGGCGGCCCCUGGACAGAUACUGACACUCAGAUGCGAAAGGCUGGGAGCAAACAGGAUUAGAUACCCCUGGUAGACUGUCA